rnacentral:rRNA from 1 species
AUUGAACGCUGGCGGCAGUCCUAACCCAUGCAAGUCGAACGAGUGGCGGACGGGUUAGUAAUGUCUGGGAAACUGCCUGAUGGAGGGGGCUAACUACUGGAAACGGUAGCUAAUACCGCAUACCAUCCGAUUUGCCCAGCUGGGAUUAGCUUGUUGGUGGGGUAACGGCUCACCAAGUCCACGAUCCCUAGCUGGGCUGAGAGGAUGACCAGCCACACUGGAACGGGGACACGGUCCAGACUCCUACGGGAGGCAGCAGUGGGGAAUAUUGCACAAUGGGCGCAAGCCUGAUGCAGCCAUGCCGCGUGUAUGAAGAAGGCCUUCGGGUUGUAAAGUACUUUCAGCGGGGAGGCGUUACCCGCAGAAGAAGCAACGGCUAACUCCGUGCCAGCAGCCGCGGUAAUUC